GACGAACGCUGGCGGCGUGCCUAAUACAUGCAAGUCGAGCGGGGAUUAUGCUUGAUCGCUUCGGUGAGACGGCAUAUAUCCUAGCGGCGGACGGGUGAGUAACGCGUGGGUAAUCUACCUCGUAGUUCGGGAUAACAGGCCGAAAGGCUUGCUAAUACCGGAUGAGUUCAUGCUUAUGCAUAUAGGCAUGAAGAAAGGGCUAGCCCGCUAUGAGAUGAGCCCGCGUCCCAUUAGCUUGUUGGUGGGGUAAUGGCCUACCAAGGCAACGAUGGGUAGCCGGCCUGAGAGGGUGUACGGCCACACUGGGACUGAGACACGGCCCAGACUCCUACGGGGGGCAGCAGUAGGGAAUUUUCGGCAAUGGGCGAAAGCCUGACCGAGCGACGCCGCGUGAGGGACGAAGGCCUUCGGGUUGUAAACCUCUGUCUGGGGGAGUGAGAACGGACGGUACCCCGGACGGAACGCCCGGCGUAACUACGUGCCAGCAGCCGCGGUAAAAGUAGCGUACUCUGAC
rnacentral:rRNA from 1 species